ensembl:lncRNA
GUAUGGCAGUCUGCCUUAGUAUUUGGGUAAUGUCAGCGGGAUAAUGAAGCAGCCUGGGAGGCAGGGCCUAGCACUGGCUGCGUGGAUUGUCUGCAGCCUGUGUCGGGCUGUGUGACCUUAGGCAGGUGGGGAGCAGCGCUGUGUUAAUACGGUGAUCUGAGAAAGGGAGGCGAGGGAAGGGUAGGAAAGGCGGCCGCAGUCUCAGGUAUCUGCCUCCCUCCCCCAACACCCGCAACAUCUGCCGCCUUAACUGCCUGAUCACUGAUGCGUGCUCCCAGCCAACAAAAAGUCGCGAUGGGCUCUCGGGAGACCUGGGGCUUUCUCCAGUGAUUCCGGACACUUGCUUCUGUUCCUGGGUUGAAAAUACCACCGGAAGCAGCAUUUUCUGAUGAGAUUACAGCACUUCUAGGCCAGUUUCCGAAGCAGAGGGGGAAACAAACGAAAAUGAAAAAAAGAAAAAGGAAAAAAUGGAGGCUGUGACCUACCUGGAGGUGGUGAGAGCCAGCAGCAGGUCGCAAUCAGCACUUUCUUCAUGGAAUGGAGCACACAGCACAUGGGAAGGGUGCCCCUCCACCCUGCUCCAGUACGACCUCGUCCUAACUAAUCACACCUGCAACAGGCCUGGUUCCAGAUACAGUCAUAUUCUAAGAUGCUGGGGCACCUAGUGGUAAAGACCAUGGAGAAGGCUGAGCGCCAAAGAACCGCGGUGCUGGACGAGACUCCUGAGAGCCCCUUGGGCUGCAAGAAGAUCCAACCAGUCCAUCCUAAAGAUCAGUCCUGGGUGUUCAUUGGAAGGACUGAUGCUGAAGCUGAAACUCCAAUACUUUGGCCACCUCGUGUGAAGAGCUGACUCAUUGGAAACGACCCUGAUGCUGGGAAAGAUUGAGGGCAGGAGGAGAAGGGACGACAGAGGAUGAGAUGGUUGGAUGGCAUCAUCGACUCGAUGGACAUGGGCUUGGGUGAACUCCGGGAGUUGGUGAUGGACAGGGAGGCCUGGUGUGCUGCAGUCUACUGGGUCUCGCAUA